GGUGGCCCUUAUGGAAGCUGCAGCUGCUUCCACGUAGCUGCUGUGGUCAAAAAGGAGCCCAGAGUGAUAGUUUUCCUUGACAGUUGCCGUUCUGUUUGCUGUAACCGAUCUUUAACAUUUCAGGAAAAGACAAUU